rnacentral:rRNA from 1 species
AUUGAACGCUGGCGGUAGGCCUAACACAUGCAAGUCGAACGAGUGGCGGACGGGUGAGGAAUACAUGGGAAUCUACUCUGUCGUGGGGGAUAACGUCUGGAAACUGACGCUAAUACCGCAUACGAUCGAAUGAGCCGAUGUCGGAUUAGCUAGUUGGUGGGGUAAAGGCUCACCAAGGCGACGAUCCUUAGCUGGUCUGAGAGGAUGAUCAGCCACACUGGAACUGAGACACGGUCCAGACUCCUACGGGAGGCAGCAGUGGGGAAUAUUGGACAAUGGGCGCAAGCCUGAUGCAGCCAUACCGCGUGGGUGAAGAAGGCCUUCGGGUUGUAAAGCCCUUUUGGUGGGAAAGCGGUACCCGAAGAAUAAGCACCGGCUAACUCCGUGCCAGCAGCCGCGGUAAUAC